rnacentral:tRNA from 1 species
GAGGAGGUAGCUCAGUGGUAGAGUACAUGCUUAACAUGUGUGAGGCCCUGGAUUCAGUCCCCAGCACCAUCA